AACUUAGCGCGAAAUUUUAACUUUGCAAUUCAAUUCGACCGUCUUCCCAAUUCUUUCCCUCAGAACUGCGUCUUAACCCUACUUUCUCCAGUCCACAGAGUGCCCUAUACGGUUCCGCUUUUACACCGUCGACAGAGUCGCCGCUUCUCCUCCUACGGUGGUGGACGAACAGGAACUCGGACCCGGUUCUCUCGGACACAUCACCCGCCCCGACUUUCCCAUCCUCCAUCAGAAGAAAAUUGCAUCUUUGGAUUUUGUUUGUGUGUUUAUAUAGAGUGAUUGAUUGAGGAGAAGGGAGUAGAGAUGGGAAGGGACAGAGAUAGGGAUAUAUCGAGGUUGCCGGCGUAAAGGAGGUAUUCGCCGUCGCUUUCACCGGUGGGGCACAGGUCUAGCCGCCGAAGCCGGAGAGAAAGAAUUCGAUCUCCUUAUUCGUAUAGCAGUUUGGUAUACAAUUCUUCCACAACUCCUUCCAUGUUUGAGCAGUUGUCUGCUUCAUCAUUGUUGUACUGCAAAAUCUUGGUAUAUAUACAAGCUACAGGUGAAAACAGUGCAGAAAUGGUAACUGAUGAAGGUGCUAUAUAUCUUACAUCAAAUAAGGGAUACAACUGGAGGGCUGCUGUGCAAGAAACUGUUUCUGCUACACUGAAUAGUUCCAACAAGUUGAUUAUGACAAAGCGGUUAUUGAUCUG